rnacentral:rRNA from 1 species
UAAAGUGGCGUACGGGUGAGUAACACGUGGAUGAUCUACCUCUUAGUGGGGGGAUAACCUUGGGAAACCGGGGCUAAUACCGCAUAAGCCUGAAAAGGGAAAGGAGCAAUUCGCUGAGAGAGGAGUCCGCGGCUGAUUAGCUAGUUGGUGAGGUAACGGCCCACCAAGGCAAUGAUCGGUAGCCGGCCUGAGAGGGCACACGGCCACACUGGCACUGAAACACGGGCCAG